UCGCGAGCAUGGGCACGCGUCUGUGGCGCCAGACACGCGUCCGCAGAGACGCUAGCUCGCCUCCUCCUCCCUCUGCCUAUAUAAGGCCACCCGAGCCUCCCCCGAGCAUCUCAUCGUCAUCCUCACACUCCACUAGCCCUCCCCAGAGUCUCACCGGAGCCUGAGAGCCUCGUCUCGCUUCCAAUGGCCGCCUUGGCCGCCGAUGGCCUCUGCUCGAAUUUGAGCGAGCCAAGCAUCCCCUCCCUCUCUCUCCACCACCACAGCUCCACCCACUCCCCGGCGCAUCUCUCCCUUAUCUCAGUUCGUCGGCGGAUCCACCAUGGCGUCGGCUCCAUCUUCACCGAUGCCGACCGUCCGCCGUGGAGAACGCAGCUGCCUUUCCCGAGCUCCCCAUCGUCUACAAUCCCCGGAGACGCCUCCGCCUCGUUCCCGUGCAUCCGUGGAUAGGUCGGGCGCCGCCUGCGGUGGCGGCCGUAGCACCGGCAGGCCUCGUCGGGGCCGGCUCUACCGCAGCCAGGCACGGGCGAGGGGAAGGAGACGACGGCCCCAACCCCCUCCCUGCCAGCUGGCCGGUGGGACCCGUGGCCCCCACCCGUCAGCGUCCCAGCAUUGACCCCGCGCCUACGCUGACGUGGACAAGUGGAGGCAUAUUCCCGUGAAUACGUCCCCCACACACGAAAGCGUACUCUGUUCUUCUUCGGACCGAAUUGCGUUUUCCUUUACGGAAAACGUAUUUUCGGAGAAGGCGCUUUCUGUUUUUCUCACUCAGGGGCCUGUUUGUGAUGAUUUCUUUACAGAUAGGUCCCUAGCAGAAAAACACUCAUAACUUUUUGCUCGCAACUUCAAAUGAGUUUGCCCUUGCACUAAACCAGCCCCUUUCAAGAGAGAAUGUUUUCCGAUGAUUCUUUCCACGACUUCACCGCAUUUUUCCCCGGAGUAUUCUUCAUCCCCAGGCAAGCCAACCUCUUAUCAUGAGCCCCGAACUUGCAUGCUGACUUUGCUUGCACCUUGUGUGUGUAGUUCCAGUUGCUAUUUACCCUUCAUCUGUAGUCAUUCUGUUAUGAUCAUCAUGCAUGCUUAUGUUUUCAUGAUAUCUUUUGCCAUGCUAAUUAGAAUAUUAGCAUCAA